rnacentral:rRNA from 1 species
UACAGAGGGUGCGAGCGUUAAUCGGAAUUACUGGGCGUAAAGCGCACGUAGGUGGCGACGUAAGUCGGGUGUGAAAGCCCCGGGCUCAACCUGGGAAUUGCAUUCGAGACUGCAUUGCUGGAGUACGGAAGAGGAGGGCGGAAUUCCCGGUGUAGCGAUGAAAUGCGUAGAUAUCGGGAGGAACAUCAGUGGCGAAGGCGGCCCUCUGGUCCAGUACUGACACUCAAGUGCGAAAGCGUGGGGAGCAAACAGG